ensembl:misc_RNA Metazoa_SRP Metazoan signal recognition particle RNA
GCCGGACGCGGUGGCGUGUGCCUGUAGUCCCAGCUACUCGGGAGGCUGAGGUGGGAGGAUCACUUGAGCCCAGGAGUUCUGGGCUGUGGUGCGCUAUGCCAAUCGGGUGUCUGCACUCAGUUUGGCAUCAAUAUGGUGACCUCCCGGGAGCGGGGGACCACCAGGUUGCCUAAGGAGGGGUGAACCAGCCUAGGUCGGAAACGGAGCAGGUCAAAACUCCCAUGCUGAUCAGUAGUGGGAUCGCGCCUGUGAAUAGCCACUGCACUCCAGCCUGGGCAACAUAUCGAGACCCCGUCUCU